AUUUGGUCUUUAUAAAGUACAAUAUCCGGUCGUUUAAAUUAAAUUAAUUAGUGGAAAUAAGCGCCACUUUUUUCCCACUCUUUUUCUUUCUUGGUCAUGAUUUUCCCACUCUUUUAACAACCCACGCUCCACCCAAACCCCACUAUCCAAAAGAAAACCCUUAACCUCCUCCCUAUUUUGAUCAAUGUAUAACUUAAUCAGAGUUGUUCCAUAAAAAACCGCUCGCCAUCUAUGACAUAUAUGAUCUUCACCUGCAAUUGACUAACCAAUUAAGGAUCUUACAUUUUUCUUCUCUUUCUCAUCACGGUAAGUUUCUUCCAAAAUCACUAAACCUAGGGUUGUAUGAAAAACAAACACAUUUUAUUCAACUAUAUCUGUGAUGAAUUAACACCAAUUAAAGAUGUCUUGCUUGAGAAAUCGACUAAUAUCAACAGAACUAGUACAAUUUGUUGUUUAGAACUAAAGAUUUACAAACAUAUAUGUUGAUGGUGUCCUAAGAUCAGUAAUGGUGUGAAAAAUUAUGUCUCAUAGUAUUGUAUCGAUUUGAUUGAUGUUUAAUAGAACUUGUUAUGUAAUGGCAUGAACUGGUUGUGAAUAUAUUGCCCCUAAAUUCCUUGUUUCAGCUCAUCCGCUAGUUGUAACUAGUGAUUGUGGGAUUGGGUAUUCUUUUGUUCUUCAAAUAAUUUAGGUUUGAUGUGAUCAAUUAGCUUUUUUAGAAAAAAAUUGUAAUCUGCUUUUGAGUACUAGUACUUAAAUCUUGUAAUUGCUAAUUAGUCUGCUUAAUUUGACUAGUAGUAAUCAAAUUUUUAAGAAUUACUAGAUGAUAUUAAGGAGACGAUAGUCUAUCUCAUUCCCUCUCUGUUAGUGCUAUCUAUGAUACCGUGAUUUUAUUUCCAUUAUGCUGUGGCUAUGACUUCAGCGUUUUUCAUUAGACAUUGGUGAAUUAGUGACCAAUUUCCUUGAGGCUAUUCGGUUAAUCUAUCCUUGAUAGUAUUUUCUAUGCCCGAAACAUUCUUCCUCGCUGUUAGUACUUCUUUUCUGCCAGUUUCUUAUGAUAUAAAUAAAGUUGAGGUUGUUGCUGCCCAGUGACGCUAUUUGUUAGGCUAUCAUAUUGAUUCAUACUACUGUUGUCCUGAUUGUUGCUUGUGGCUAUGAUAUAAAUUUUUAUUAAGGUUCUGUUGUCACGUGAUCAUAUUCGUUGCGUUGAAUUUUACUGGUCUGAACAUUACUACACUUCUGGGUUUUGGCCUAGGAUACAAACUACAAUAGAGUUUAUUAUCCAUCACUGUUCCUCCGUUGCUUUUGUCCCUCGAUGCUAUCUGGUUUGGUGUUGAAAUUUCUUUACUUGCAAAUAAGUAAUUUUUUUGAGGCGGCGACGAUAAUAGUCUAGCAAAGACAGUGAGGCAAGCAAUUGCGGGGUUCGCUUCUCGGCACGACAACCUGGAUGUAGACGAUUGAUGCAACUGGUUGCAGCCGUGGCGUGGCCGGACCUUCUUCGCAUGUGCCUGAAUACAAAUCUGAGCCUCUAUUUCAAUUGUUCUCACCACCUUGGUAUCAUUAUUGUUCCAAUUAAGACCCUCAUUUUUCAUUGUUUGAACUCGUGUCACAAGGAUUUUGUUUUCAUCUCUACUUAACUUUAAAGUACUGUAGUAAAUACAGAUUUCUCGAAUGUGAAAAAUGCAUGUUUGCUUGUUUCAAGAAUAUGCCAAUAGCUAUUGUUAUCCAUACCUAAGUUACAUGUAAACUUAGAAGUAGCAAAAUGCAGUGAAAUCUAUUUCUAGCACCUAAAACUAUUUUUAGAAUAUUCCAAAACUGUUAAUGGUUACAUAUUCUAUUCUUUAUUUCCAUUCUUGCAAUUAUUCAUAAGGUUGAGGAUUUAGUUCGUACCCCCUAAAAUGCAAAAUGAUAGAUGUCACUUAAAAUUAUCAGUUAGAUUUUGAAGGAAACCUUUCCUUGUUUGUGCUGAAUUGCUAGUAACAGAAUGUUAGCCUCAAUGCUAUAUGAAAGAACAUUCUCCUUUGACUUACUUACAUGAUCUAACAUUAAUUAAUAUUUUUAUAUGAAAGUCUUGGUUUAUAAACAUGCUCAGAUUGUGAAUAUUGAGUAGUGACAGUUAAUCUCAUUAGUUUGAGAGUUUACAGACCCAAGAUUUCAAAGUCCUUAAUUCAAUAUAAGUCAAGUUCCCACAAAAAUCAGGUAGCCAAUCUUGACUUCAGACUUCUUUUUUUUUUUUUUUAUUUUAAGAAAUUCGAUCUCUUCUUUUGGAUGUAUUGUGCACUUAUUUAAAAUUUCAUAUUUUUUUUAUUUACUUUAUUUGAUUCUUAUAUCGCUAAUGCUUCUUUAAUUAUGUUACUUGAUUGUCCAGAUGCUAUCCUUCGUAUUAAAUGUGUUAAAAUGAUUCAUGUCGCCCGCAAGUCAAAUUACGCGCUUUACUUGUUUUAUUUUGACUUCUCAUGAAUCACUACAUCCGUAAGGUAGCACAUAUUUCUACUAAUCAAUCUCUCUUCUUUUGUGAGAUGUUUCUAUCUACAGAGUUUGAUUGAAGACGUUGCCUAGAAGAGAUGAAGGUCUUUCUGAUUCCAAUCGUCGACUUGUUCCUUCCCUCUCAGGAAUGUACACAAACACUACUUAACUAGUGCUUUAAUUAUUCUCUUACUUGGACUAAGUAUCUAGUGAUUAUUUUUACUUACUGCAUUCUUAGUUUCUGCCAAAAUAUUAGAGUGAUACAUCUAGUUUAUAUUAAUUAGUCGAGUAGCAUGAUGAAAGAGUUAAUGUGUUGGGGGUAGUCAUAGGAUUAAGCUUCUGAAUCAGUAGGAAUCUUGGCAUUUCAUUCUGUAGUUUAUUAUCUAGUAUUAGCAACAAGGAGAUAAGUUUUUCUUUUCUUAGUCCACUGGUUUGUAUAUGUAUUUCUAUUCUAAUAUGACCUGCCUAUGUUUGCUCUUAACUGGUGAAUCUCUUGAAUGUGAUAUACAAAUUCAAAUAUGCUAUUGCCUUAGAAUGUUAACAGUCUAUUAUUUGAAUGUAUGACCUCCUUUGCUAGAAAUGCAGUCAGUUAACAACAAAGCGUUAAUUGAGGAACUUGAUAAGAUUCUUGAGAGAUUGUGGAUACCCUCUAAGCUCUCUCUGUCUCCCCCCGAUCUUGUUCAUGAACACCCUUAAAUAAACUAAUGUUUCUAGGUCAUUCUUGUUUUAUAGAAUGCAGCAUCUUUAACAGGCUGUUCAUUUGAUGAGGCAAGAAUGCUUCAAAACAUUGAGGCAUGUGAGUGGUUAACUAAUUUGGAUCCUAGCUAUGCACAUAUGAGACUAUAUGUCCACUUCCUCGUUUCUUUCUUUCUGAUUCUUUUAGUUAUUUCUUCAUCAGUGUUGUGCUUUAUCGUAUAGGGUAGAAAAGGUUAAUACAUAUGGGCAUACAUAUCAAAGCAUAGCGCAAUUUUUGGCCUGAUCAGGUCUAGUUCUCAAGUGGUUGGGAAAUAAAAAAUGGUUGAAUUAUUGCAAAUACAUGGUAUAUGUAAAUUGUAUAUGUGACGCGACUGACCUUGAUGAACCUUGGCUGUAUAAGAUGGAUAGGGAACUCUUCCUUUUUUUUUUUUUUUUUUUUUUAUCAUUACCAGCUAAUUCUAAUUGAUAAACUUCUUGUUGGUUUUUAGGGGCUUAUGAUCUGUUACUAUAUAUGGAUGGGAAGUAUGGGAAUUGUAUUGUUACAUCUCAUGUGCUUGUUUGCCAAUUGAAGUGAAACAAAGCAAAGGAGAAACGAGCAGAGCUUGACAAGUUAAAAACGACAUUUGUUCGAAGAGCAUCUGAAUUCUGGAGAGACUAUUUUACCAGUUAGGUUGAUUUUAUAAUAAGUGACAAGAGUUAUUUUUCUCAGCAGAUCAAGAUUUGAAGUCCGAAGAACUUGUCCUUUGAAGAAAUUGCACAGCAAGUACAAGCGCAAUAGGUCUUUAUUAUAUUAGUGGUGUCUUAAAGAUGUUAUCAUUUGUACAUAUGUUAUAGUUUUACUUUUUUAGUUUUCAAGGAGUUGAUAAAAAUAAUGUCAUGCAAUUUGGAUGGGCAUAUAUUUUUGGUAAUAUGUACCUUUAGUACUUUGUAAUUAACAAUGAAUUUAUUUUAAUAAUAUUGAUUAUUUGGUA